AAAGACUUAGUCCUAAACUUACUGUUAAUUGUUGCUAGACAUAUACAUGCAACUAUCUGCAGUGUGGCGUAAAUGCCCUUGAUCGCCUUGUUAAGGCGAAAGGAGCAGGCACCAGCACACCUAAGUCGUAGCCCAAGAUGCCUUGCUUAGCUACACCCCCAUGGGUACUCAGCAGUAACUAACAUUAAGCAAUAAGUGUAAAUUUGACUUGUAACAACACCUGGGUUGGUAAACCUUGUGCCAGCCACCGCAGUCACACACGAGACCCAAACUGACUAUAAUAUGGUGUAAAGAGUGAUAAUGUUAUCAAGGCAACUAAGAUCAAAAUGUAACUGAGCUGUCAUAAGCCUAAGACGCACCUAAAGCCAUCCUCAAGAUGAUCUUAGCAUCCAUGAUUAAUUAAACCCCACGAAAGCUAACACACAAACUGGGAUUACAUACCCCACUAUGCCUAGCCCUAAAUCUUGAUAUUUUUGCCUACUAAAGUAUCCGCCUGAGAACUACGAGCACAAACGCUUAAAACUCUAAGGACUUGGCGGUGCCUUAAACCCACCUAGAGGAGCCUGUUCUAUAACCGAUAACCCACGAUACACCCAACCACCUCUUGCCAAAGCAGCCUACAUACCGCCGUCGCCAGUCCACCUUCCUUGAGAGCAUAACAGUGGACAUAAUAGUCUCAACCUCGCUAACAAGACAGGUCAAGGUAUAGCUUAUGGGGUGGAAGAAAUGGGCUACAUUUUCUAACAUAGAAAACUUUCACGGAAGUGGGCGUGAAAUCGCCCACAGAAGGCGGAUUUAGCAGUAAAGAGAGACAAUAGAGCUCCCUUUAAGCCGGCUCUGGGGCACGUACAUACCGCCCGUCACCCUCCUCACAAGCUACAAGCCUUUAUAACUAAUACCCAAAUUAGCUGAAGAUGAGGUAAGUCGUAACAAGGUAAGUGUACCGGAAGGUGCACUUAGCAUAC
rnacentral:ncRNA from 1 species